rnacentral:rRNA from 1 species
AUACAUGUAUUGCAAGCGGUCACGGUGAAGGUCCAGAGACUAAGUGGUGAUGGGUGUCGGCGCGGUUGACCGCGCCGAUGCUUAAGAUAUAGUCCGCCCCUCUUGAGAGAGAGCUCAUCGGAUGAAGGAGCGUGCACUCCCCGAGCCUUUGAGGUCGACCGGUUGUAUUACACAAGUGUAAUACACCGGCCGAUGGAUUCAUUAGAACGUCGCUAGAGUGUUGUAAUACGCAUGUAUUACAAACUGUCUUUUGUGUAAUACACAUGCAAUACACUGUCUAUUGGCACGGGAAGAUGACCACUCCGUCUGGAAGGAACCAAGUGUUCACGUCGCCUGGGAAAACGGUCUACAAAAGUAAGGCUGAAGCAAAGGAGGCUUUGCUUCGGCUCAACCGAGCAGACUCCGAUGCCGGCGGUGAGACCCUUGCGGACGACGAUCCCAGCGCGUAUACCCUUGUAGACUCCGAGACCGGUGAGGAUACCCAACCUUACCCGACCAAAGACAUGUAGUACAGAGUGUAAUACAGUUGUAAUACACAUGUAAUACAAGUCUUAGACAGUAUAAAAGACCCUCUAGCAGACCCUUCUUUAGUAAAGUGGGAGCCUGCGGCUUAAUUUGACUCAACACGGGGAAACUUACCAGGUCCAGACAUAGUAAGGAUUGACAGAUUGAGAGCUCUUUCUUGAUUCUAUGGGUGGUGGUGCAUGGCCGUUCUUAGUUGGUGGAGUGAUUUGUCUGGUUAAUUCCGUUAACGAACGAGACCCCCGCCUGCUAAAUAGCUGUGGGAAUGCGCUUGCAUUGCCUCAACUUCUUAGAGGGACUUUCGGUGACUAACCGAAGGAAGCUGGGGGCAAUAACAGGUCUGUGAUGCCCUUAGAUGUCCUGGGCCGCACGCGCGCUACACUGGCACACGCAACGAGUCUAUCACCUUGGUCGGCAGGCCUGGGUAAUCUGUGAACGUGUGCCGUGAUUGGGAUUGAUUGUUGCAAUUUUCAAUCAUGAACGAGGAAUUCCUAGUAAACGCGAGUCAUCAGCUCGCAUUGAUUACGUCCCUGCCCUUUGUACACACCGCCCGUCGCACCUACCGAUUGAAUGGUUCGGUGAAACCUCCGGACUGGGGUUCGCAAGCUUCACGGCGAACGUACCUCGGGAAGUUGGUUAAACCUCACUAUUUAGAGGAAGGUGAAGUCGUAACAAGGUCUCCGUAGGUGAACCUGCGGAGG